GGAGGGCUGGCAGAGCGGUAAUGCGUCCGUUUCGAAAGCGGCAGCCGGGGCGGGAGUCCCGCGGGGGUUCGAUCCCCUCGCCCUCCG
rnacentral:tRNA from 1 species